UUUCUUAGGGCUUCUACUGUUGUGAUAAAAACAAUUUGGGGAGGGAAGGGGUUAUUUCAUCUUACCACCCUGGGAUCACAGAGGGUAGUCGGAGCAGGAACUUGGGACAGAUACAGGAACUGGGACUGGUCCAGAAGCCAUCAAGGAACACAGCUUACUGGUUUGCUCAGCUUGCUUUUUUUACACAGCUCAGGACCACCUGUCCAGGGUUGGCUCUAUCCACGCCCUCUGGGCUGGGUCCACCCACAUCAAUCGUAAGUGGAGAAAAUGCACUACAGACUCUGAUGGAGGAGGCAUUCUCUCAACAGAAGUUCCCAGAUAGUUCUAGCUUGGGUCAAAUCGAUCAAAGAACAACCAGGACAAUACCUUUCUUUACUUUGCUCCUUGGGACAGAUCUAACAUAAAGACUUGGUAAUUUGAUACCCAAAGGUCUUGUGUGUGUGUGUGUGUGUGUGUGUGUGUGUGUGUGUGUGUGUGAGAGAGAGAGAGAGAGAGAGAGAGAGAGAAACAGAGAGAGAGAGACAGAGAGAGACAGAGACAGAGAGACAGAGACACAGAGAGAUAGAGAUACAGAUAGAGACAGACAGAGACGCACAGAGAGACACGGAGAGACAGAGAGAAUCCUGUAGCACAAAUUGUACUCAAAAUUUCUGUGUAGCUGAAGAUGACCUUGAACUUCUUCUUUUUUUUUUUUUUUUUUUUUUUCUUUUCUUUUUUUUCAGAGCUGGGGACCGAACCCAGGGCCUUGUGCUUGCUAGGCAAGUGCCCCUACCGCUGAGCUAAAUCCCCAACCCCGACCUUGAACUUCUGAUUGUCCCUCCCCCACCAUCUGAAAUGUGUGCAUCCACACACACUUACUCUAUUAGGUGCUGAGGAUCAAGGCUAGGGCUUUAUGCAUUCAAAGCAAGCACUCUACCAAGUAAGCUACAUCCUCUUCCUUGUUCUGGGUUUUUGAAGUAGGAUUUCAUGUGACCCACUGUGUAGCUGAGGCUGACUUCCUUAGACUCCUGAUGUUCUUGCUGCCUCUCCUGCCAGGUUCUGGGAUAACAGGCAUGUACCACUUACCGCUUCAGGCCAGGAAGAUAUUGAACAGAUAAAAAACGGUUCCACUUCCCCAGCAGUGCCCAGAGGAAUACUCUUCCACAGUAUUCCAAGUCCAAACGAGAUACACCCUGGUCCUCUGCCCGGAUGCCUCUAGUGAUGAGAAAUGGCUACCGAUCUCUCUAAGACACUCAGGUCCUCUGACACGGAGUUUUCCAUCAUAGACACUACGAACGGCUCAACAAGGCUCAACAAGAAUCAUGGGACAUUGGGCUGGAGAGAUGGUUUAUCGGUUAAGAGCACCGACUACUCUUCCAGAGGUCCUGAGUUCAAUUCCCAGCAACCACAUGGUGGUUCACAACCAUCUGUAAUGGGAUCUGAUGCCUGAAGACAGCAACAGUGUACUUAUAUAUAAUAAAUGAAUAAAUCUUUUUUUUUAAAGUGAAAAAUCCAAACAGAGAUUUAAAAAAAAAAAAAAGAAUCACGGGACAUGCAGGA